AAAGAGAAGGUCAGGAUCGACAUUCCGCAGGUAAGCAUGUUCGACAUUCCCAGGAAAAGGGGAUAGGCGUCGACAUUUGGCAAGGAACUCGAAACCUUCAAAAGAGAAGGUCAGGAUCGACAUUCCACACCACUCUCCUCGACAUCCUCAGAAAAAGGUGAGUUCGACAUUUUUAGACAACAUCGACAUUUCCAGGGAGAAAUGAGAUCGACUUGUCAAAAAUUCGACACCUUUAGAAAAGGAUCAGCAGUCAUCGACAUCCUCAGGAAAAGGUGAGAUCGACAUUUUUAGACAACAUCGACAUUUCCAGGGAGAAAUGAGAUCGACUAGUCAAAAAUCCGACACCUUUAGAAAAGGAUCAACAGUCAUCGACUUCCUCAGAAAAAGGUGGGAUCGACUUUUUUAGACAACUUCGACAUUUCCAGGGAGAAAUGAGAUCGACUUGUCAAAAAUUCGACACCUUUAGAAAAGGAUCAGCAGUCUUCGACAUCCUCAGAAAAACGGUGGGAUCGACAUUUUUAGGCAACAUCGACAUUUCCAGGGAGAAACGAGAUCGACUUGCCAAAAAUCCGACACCUUUAGAAAAGGAAAAAAAGAAUAUGGUACUAACCAAGAGAAUUUCGGUUAC
rnacentral:lncRNA from 1 species